rnacentral:rRNA from 1 species
UACGUAGGGGGCAAGCGUUGUCCGGAUUUACUGGGCGCAAAGAGCGCGCAGGCGGUCGAUCAAGUCGAGUGUGAAAGCCCCCGGCUCAACUGGGGAGGGUCAUUCGAUACUGAUCGACUCGAAGGCAGGAGAGGGUAGUGGAAUUCCCGGUGUAGUGGUGAAAUGCGUAGAUAUCCGGAGGAACACCAGCGGCGAAGGCGGCAUCCUGGACUGGUCCUGACACUCAGGAGCGAAAGCGUGGGGAGCGAUCCGG